UAACUGUGGCUUUAAGUGACUCAAAUGGGGAUGUCACAUGGCAGACUGGUGAGUAUAGCUCCUCCCACGAUGGCUGCCUAACGCCCAAGACCUGGUCUAUGAAGUGGCAGGGCUCUGGUACAUUAAAUAGAUAAUUAGAUUUACCUCUUCAGAGUAAAGCCUAAGCUAUCUGAGAUAGCAGAAAACAAGAAAGAGGAACCAUGAACUUCAUACAUCCGUGAACUAGUAGAAGAUGUCAAGUUUCUUUUCUUUUUUAAUUUAAUUUUAUUUUUUGUCAAGUUUCUUUUCAAAAAAGAAAACCCAAACACUUUGUCCAGCCAGCUUUCAAACUACUGCUGAUGACCCUAACUCAAGAUCAGAACCUGCUUCCACAGCCAGUUGGUCAAGAAAUCUUUGGGGGAGGGGCUCAGCUCCCUUAAGCUCAUAGUUCAGUCAGGGAGAGGGGCUUUUUGGUCUCCACGUUUGUAGGGCCAAAGCUUUUAUUCAGCCAGAAGUAACUAUACAAGAUGGAACUUCCUCCCUCAACUGCUCUCCAAGAUUUUUGGGGACUAUUCUCACAGGAGGGAAUAGUACAGUUAGAAGUAAUGGAGCUGAGUGAGUCACUCCCUUCCUUCCAUUUAACUCUAAACAGCACCCAAUGGUUAUUCCUGCUUCCAUUAUCUUAUGAGAGGUAGAAAAUAUAAUAACAAAAACCUAGGAGAUCAGUGAUGCCCUAGGCAAGAUAGCACAGAUGCCAGAGCACCAGGGGAGAUUCAGUGGGAGGCACCUAAAGCAGAAGUGUCUGGCCUUUAAAGUCUGAAAGCCCAUGUUAUCGGCCCCCUUUCUUUCAUGUUGCUGUUGCUACUUUUGCCCUGUGUGCAGUGCUUUGCUGUUACUCUGGCACCUUUCUUGAUCUGUGUUAUACUUUUGCUGGCACACACUGGCCCUGAGCACAACUUCUAUGAUUUUCAAUAAAAUG